rnacentral:pre_miRNA from 1 species
GCGCGUCGGCACCUUGGCUCUAGACUGAUUACUGCUAAAUAGCGUUCAGGAAACAGUAACAGUCUACAGUCAUGGCUACUGAAGCAUG